GGGUCCCUGGUGUAUGCGCCAGACUUACAGUCCCUGAGCCGAUAUUAUGUAUCCGGGGGUUCCUCGAUGCUGCUGGUGUGCAAGUCCGGUUUUAGCCGGGAAGCCUUAUGUAGUGCAGGAGCCACCACCUUGAACCAUCGGGUUCAAGGGCCGUUCUGUCAGCGGUAUACCGGGAAUCCC
rnacentral:other from 1 species